GUUUGUCUUGCUUGCUGGUUCUUCAGAAUCCUUCUCUGUGUUUUCAUAGAUCAUGCCCAUUUAGUAGUUAAAUCACUUUGUGUAUACAGCCCUAGUCGCACCUCCCUGCAUGUGACUUACACAGCCUUUAUAAACUCUUCCUGUUUAGAAAGAUAAAUAUACAAACAAACGUGUGAAAUACAGGCACCUAUAUCGUAAUCUAUUAUAGUAUAUUUAGUGCAGCAGCUGAAACACUGUG